UGACCUCGAUCAGGUAGUCCCAGUUCG
rnacentral:rRNA from 1 species